rnacentral:precursor_RNA from 14 species
GCAUGUCUGUCUGAACUAUGUUCGGUUUUCAGGCAGUGUAGUUAGCUGAUUGUGUUAUAUCAAAUUUGCAAUCACUAGCUAAACUACCAUAAAAACUUAACAUAAAAGUGCUGCAUUGAUA